UGGGGAAUAUUGCGCAAUGGGCGAAAGCUUGACGCAGCAACGCCGCGUGAGUGAUGAAGGCCUUCGGGUCGUAAAGCUCUGUCGGGAGGAACGAAUAGCCGCUGUGAACAAUACCACAGUGGUGUGACGGUACCUCCAAAGGAAGCACCGGCUAACUCCGUGCCAGCAGCCGCGGUAAUACGGAGGGUGCAAGCGUUGUUCGGAAUUACUGGGCGUAAAGCGCGUGUAGGCGGACUCAGAAGUCGGGUGUGAAAGCCCCGGGCUUAACUCGGGAAGUGCGCUCGAAACCAUGGGUCUUGAGAACCGGAGGGGAUCGGGGAAUUCCCAGUGUAGAGGUGAAAUUCGUAGAUAUUGGGAGGAACACCGGUGGCGAAGGCGCCGAUCUGGACGGUUUCUGACGCUGAGACGCGAAAGCGUGGGUAGCAAACA
rnacentral:rRNA from 1 species